CCCUAGCUUAUGUGUAACUCAGUAGAACAUGAGACUCUUAAUCUCAGUGUUGUGGGUUCAAGCCCCAUGUUGGGCA